CACGUAGGGCGCAAGCGUUGUCCGGAAUUAUUGGGCGUAAAGGGCUCGUAGGUGGCCAACUAAGUCAGACGUGAAAUCCCUCGGCUUAACCGGGGAACUGCGUCUGAUACUGAAUGGCUUGAGUUUGGGAGAGGGAUGCGGAAUUCCAGGUGUAGCGGUGAAAUGCGUAGAUAUCUGGAGGAACACCGGUGGCGAAGGCGGCAUCCUGGACCGAGAUUGACGCUGAGGCGCGAAAGCCAGGGGAGCAAACGGG
rnacentral:rRNA from 1 species